GAUGAACGCUCGCUACAGGCUUAACACAUGCAAGUCGAGGGGAAACGACAUCGAAAGCUUGCUUUUGAUGGGCGUCGACCGGCGCACGGGUGAGUAACGCGUAUCCAACCUGCCCAUCACUUGGGAAUAACCUUGCGAAAGUAAGACUAAUACCCAAUGAUAUCCCACGAAGACAUCUGAAUGGGAUUAAAGAUUUAUCGGUGAUGGAUGGGGAUGCGUCUGAUUAGCUUGUUGGCGGGGUAACGGCCCACCAAGGCAACGAUCAGUAGGGGUUCUGAGAGGAAGGUCCCCCACAUUGGAACUGAGACACGGUCCAAACUCCUACGGGAGGCAGCAGUGAGGAAUAUUGGUCAAUGGGCGAGAGCCUGAACCAGCCAAGUAGCGUGCAGGAUGACGGCCCUAUGGGUUGUAAACUGCUUUUAUAAGGGAAUAAAGUGGGUCUCGUGAGACUUUUUGCAUGUACCUUAUGAAUAAGGACCGGCUAAUUCCGUG
rnacentral:rRNA from 1 species